rnacentral:misc_RNA from 1 species
UCAGUUCUGUUAGAGGGCAUAACCAAGAAGUCACAAGGAUCAGUAUCCCUUCCUGAUCUUCCCAAGGUACCAAAAGUGACAAGUGGCCCAAAGGCCUCUGAGUUAAAAGCCAAGAUAGAGGCUGAGCAGCAUGCCCUUCGUCGAAUGCGUAUGUGCCUCAGAGAUAUUUGCAAUCGGAUACUGUAUGACAAACGAUUUAGUGCCUUCCACUAUCCCGUCACAGACGAAGAUGCUCCAAAUUAUCGCUCAAUAAUCCAGAAUCCUAUGGACAUGGGUACUCUACUGCAGCGUGUUGACUCUUGUCAGUAUAUCACGUGCUCAGCAUUCUUGCAAGACAUUGAUCUCAUCGUGACCAAUGC